UUGUGAUGAUGGUGGCGGUGAACUAACAGGUGGUGGCAAUCGCGGCGGCGGUGCUGGCGGUGGUGGUGAAGGAACAGGCGGUUGAGUAGAUGGUGUUGGUGGAGGUGGUGAUGGAGUUUGUGGAGGUGGAGGUGAUGGCCUGGGUGCAGAUGGUGGAGGACUAGGUGGCGGGCUUGAUGGUGGUGGCGAAGGCGGUGGAGAAGUGGAAGUGGAAGGAGGGGAAGUGGGUGAAAUAGGUGGGGGAGGAGGGGAGGCCUGCAGGGGUGGAGGUGAAGAUUCAGCAGGGGAGGGUGGUG
rnacentral:lncRNA from 1 species